AUGCAAGUUUAUGCGAAGUGGAGUUUUAGGCGUUCUUCGCCGAGAGUCGUCGGGGUUUCCUGCUUCAACAGUGCUUGGACGGAACCCGGCGCUCAUCCCCCACCCGGGCCGGCUGCCCAUAGCCAGCCGUCCCUCACCUGUUCACCGCACCCUCUGACCGCCCCAAGGCCCCUGCCGCCUCCGCAGCGCUGCGCAGCCACCGCUGCCACCUCUCCUUAGUCGCUGCCAUGACGACCACGUCCACCUCGCAGGUGCGCCAGGACUACCACCAGGACUCAGAGGCCGCCAUCAACCGCCAGAUCAACCUGGAGCUCUAUGCCUCCUACGUUUACCUGUCCAUGUCUUACUACUUUGACCACGAUGAUGUGGCUUUGAAGAACUUUGCCAAAUACUUUCUUCACCAAUCUCAUGAGGAGAGGGAACAUGCUGAGAAACUGAUGAAGCUGCAGAACCAAUGAGGUGGCCGAAUCUUCCUUCAGGAUAUCAAAAAACCAGACUGUGAUGACUGGGAGAGCGGGCUGAAUGCGAUGGAGUGUGCAUUACAUUUGGGAAAAAAUGUGAAUCAGUCACUACUGGAACUGCACAAACUGGCCACUGACAAAAAUGACCCCCAUUUGUGUGACUUCAUUGAAACACAUUACCUGAAUGAGCAAGUGAAAGCCAUCAAAGAAUUGAGUGACCAUGUGACCAACUUGCACAAGAUGGGAGCACUCGAAUCUGGCUUGGCAGAAUUAUCUCUUUGACAAGCACACCCCGGGAGACAGUGGUAAUGAAAGCUAAGCCUCAGGCCAAUUUCCCCAUAGCCGUGGGGUGACUUCCCUGGUCACCAAGGCAGUGCAUGCAUGUUGGGGUUUCCUUUACCUUUUCUAUAAGUUUUACCAAAACAUCCACUUAAGUUCUUUGAUUUGUAUCAUUCCUUCAAAUAAAGAAAUUUGGUACCCCCCAAAAAAAAUAAUAAUAUAAAUAUACAUAUUAGAUGAAUAGAUAGGAAGCAAUUAACUUAUAUAUAAAGAAUUAUACUUUAAGUUGAAACAAGAUUUAGUAUGUGAUUUACAAAACAAUAGAAGUAGUUAAGUUUCAUCAAACCAUAUGAAAUUGUUAACAUUUGAACAUUUUGACCUAUAAAAAUGGUGAUUUCAUAUGGCUCAACGAAGUAUUAUAACAGGUUUCAAUAGCAAAAAUGUUUAAGCUCCAGCCAGUGUCUUACUUAUUCCAGUUAAUGUUUAAAACAGAAUUGCCACAAAAGUAUUAUUUCAUCUCUAGGCCUCAAUGAAAGAAGAUAAAAGUACGGCAAAAAAAUUUUUACAUCUAAUCAAAUAUGAUGUAAUAAGUGAUUUUAU